rnacentral:rRNA from 1 species
GAUGAACGCUGGCGGCGUGCCUAAUACAUGCAAGUCGAGCGAACAGACGAGGAGCUUGCUCCUCUGACGUUAGCGGCGGACGGGUGAGUAACACGUGGAUAACCUACCUAUAAGACUGGGAUAACUUCGGGAAACCGGAGCUAAUACCGGAUAAUAUAUUGAACCGCAUGGUUCAAUAGUGAAAGACGGUUUUGCUGUCACUUAUAGAUGGAACCGCGCCGCAUUAGCUAGUUGGUAAGGUAACGGCUUACCAAGGCGACGAUGCGUAGCCGACCUGAGAGGGUGAUCGGCCACACUGGAACUGGGACACGGUCCAGACUCCUACGGGAGGCAGCAGUAGGGAAUCUUCCGCAAUGGGCGAAAGCCUGACGGAGCAACGCCGCGUGAGUGAUGAAGGUCUUCGGAUCGUAAAACUCUGUUAUUAGGGAAGAACAAAUGUGUAAGUAACUAUGCACGUCUUGACGGUACCUAAUCAGAAAGCCACGGCUAACUACGUG